AAGCGAUGUCACUGUGUUUGUGUGGGAUUCUCUCCCUUUAGUGAAGGUAGUCUAAGGCGUGAAGUUUCCCGCCUGGUGAGUACGGUCGCAAGAUUAAAUCUCAAAGGAAUUGACGGGGCCCCGCACAAGCGGUGGAUGAUGUGGAUUAAUUCGAUGCAACGCGAAAAACCUUACCUACCCUUGACAUGCCACUAACGAAGCAGAGAUGCAUUUAGGUGCUCGAAAGAGAAAGACGGCACAGGUACUGCAUGGCUCUGGUCAGCUCGUGUCAUGAGAUGUUGAGUUAAGUCCCGCAACGAGCGCAUCCCUUGUCUCUAGUUGCUUCGAAAGGGCACUCUAGAGAGACUGCCGGUGACAAACCGGAGGAAGGUGGGGAUGACGUCAAGUCCUCAUGGCCCUUAUGGGUAGGGCUUCACACGUCAUACAAUGGUGCGUACAGAGGGUUGCCAAGCCGCGAGGUGGAGCUAAUCCCAGAAAAUGCAUCGUAGUUCGGAUCGUAGUCUGCAACUCGCCUACAUGAAGCUGGAAUCGCUAGUAAUCGCGGAUCAGCAUGCCGCGGUGAAUACGUUCCCGGGUCUUGUACACACCGCCCGUCACACCAUGAGAGUGGGUUAACCCAGAAAGUAGUUAGACUUAACCGUUAAUGGAGCGCCAGACCGUUACUAAGAGGCUGGUCAGGG
rnacentral:rRNA from 1 species